GUUAAUUCGCUUGUAGUUGCAUCGAAGCUGCAGCAACGAAACGUUGCAGUCUUUCGCUGUCAGCUACAGCGCAGAGUCGAUCGGAUUUAGUUCCUCUAUUUCGUAACAGCCGCUGUGUUCACAACAUUGACUCCAAGAUAAAUUUUGGAAUUUCGUAGAUCCAACAUUCGUAUUGCUAGUUCGACUAACUUCGUGAGCAGUUGCCAAGCUCGCUGUGCAUAGGGAUAGAUGAGGGAGGAGAAGAGGGUGCUUUGUUUUCACCUAGUCUUACCGAUCAGACUCGUUGGUAAGGCUUAACUUGAGUACUGCCAGAGGUUUUAUACGCUCAGUACGUGAGCGGCGCUCGCUCCGACAAUAUCGUUAAAUGUUGCUGUGCGAAGUCCGGCUCCACGACGAUGUCGCCUUGGUUGACAUGAGAACUCAUACAUAGAAAGAUUAGAAAUUUAUCAUGCCAUUUCUUCACGAUACACACCCCACUUAAGGUCAUUGGAAUUACAGUGUUGUAUGUACAUACAUCAAAACUAUUGCAAAUACGUUCGAAAAUAUCGCAGAUCGAAUGUACUAGACAAAAUUAUCGUAUUUAUCGAAAAAUGAAAAUCAAUAUUGUACUUUGAAUAAUUGUAAUUCUCGGAUUCUUACAUCAUGUUUUCACAAUUAACUCUGAAACAUCCAGCGUGGAAAUUAUAAGACUCCUACGCAUAGUUUUUCUUAAAAUACGUUCAGUAGUAUGUACAUUCAUUUUGCAGCAAAAAACAACUAUUGGAAAUAGUGAAUUUAUCAACAUUAAAAAAACUACUGAUUCACCUGGCCGCGACUAACAGUCCAAUUCCUAAUGGGUCAUUGUAAUGAGUAAUGUCCAAUCGCGCUUUA